AAUAGAUACCCGGGUAGUCCACGCCGUAAACGAUGAGUGCUAAGUGUUAGAGGGUUUCCGCCCUUUAGUGCUGCAGCUAACGCAUUAAGCACUCCGCCUGGGGAGUACGGCCGCAAGGCUGAAACUCAAAGGAAUUGACGGGGGCCCGCACAAGCGGUGGAGCAUGUGGUUUAAUUCGAAGCAACGCGAAGAACCUUACCAGGUCUUGACAUCCUCUGCCAACCCUAGAGAUAGGGCGUUCCCCUUCGGGGGACAGAGUGACAGGUGGUGCAUGGUUGUCGUCAGCUCGUGUCGUGAGAUGUUGGGUUAAGUCCCGCAACGAGCGCGACCCUUGAUCUUAGUUGCCAGCAUUCAGUUGGGCACUCUAAGGUGACUGCCGGUGACAAACCGGAGGAAGGUGGGGAUGACGUCAAAUCAUCAUGCCCCUUAUGACCUGGGCUACACACGUGCUACAAUGGAUGGUACAAAGAGCUGCGAACCCGCGAGGGUAAGCCAAUCUCAUAAAGCCAUUCUCAGUUCGGA
rnacentral:rRNA from 1 species